rnacentral:rRNA from 1 species
ACAGCAGCCGCCGCGGGAAUACAGAGGGUGCAAGCGUUAAUCGGAAUUACUGGGCGUAAAGCGCGCGUAGGUGGUUUGUUAAGUUGGAUGUGAAAUCCCCGGGCUCAACCUGGGAACUGCAUCCAAAACUGGCAAGCUAGAGUAUGGUAGAGGGUGGUGGAAUUUCCUGUGUAGCGGUGAAAUGCGUAGAUAUAGGAAGGAACACCAGUGGCGAAGGCGACCACCUGGACUGAUACUGACACUGAGGUGCGAAAGCGUGGGGAGCAAACAGGAUUAGAUACCCCUGUAGUCCCUGUCUCUUAUAC